CACGUAGGGUGCGAGCGUUGUCCGGAAUUAUUGGGCGUAAAGAGCUCGUAGGCGGUGUGUCGCGUCGGCCGUGAAAACCUGCAGCUUAACUGUGGGCGUGCGGUCGAUACGGGCAUCACUGGAGUUCGGCAGGGGAGACUGGAAUUCCUGGUGUAGCAGUGAAAUGCGUGGAUAUCAGGAGGAAUACCGAUGGCGAAGGCAGGUCUCUGGGCUGACACUGACGCUCAUGCACGAAAGCGUGGGGAGCAAACAGG
rnacentral:rRNA from 1 species